GCCGGUGACCAUGGCGGAGGGGAAACACCCGUUCCCAUCUCGAACACGGCAGUUAAGCUCUCCAGCGUCGAUGAUAGUAUGCGGGCAGCUGCAUGCGAAAGUAGAACGUUGCCGGAU
rnacentral:rRNA from 1 species